rnacentral:other from 1 species
UCAUGUCUAGAGGGUGUAUAUUUUUCCUACACUUAGAGAUACGGGAAACUGGACGUUAUAUUAAUGUGUUGAAUGCCUGCUACGAGCAGGAAUCCUAAUUUAAUAUACAGGUUACCCACCUGGACUUACCAGGAAAGAUCUCCCCCUUUAGAUUUCAU